AAUGAAGUAGGGGAUGGCGUCCCCCUGGGGAUAACCCCGAACCGCCUCUUGAUUAAUGAUAGGGGCUGAUGACGCCUACUUCACC
rnacentral:ncRNA from 15 species